rnacentral:rRNA from 1 species
GACGAACGCUGGCGGCGUGCCUAAUACAUGCAAGUUGAGCGAUGAAGAUUGGUGCUUGCACCAAUUUGAAGAGCAGCGAACGGGUGAGUAACGCGUGGGGAAUCUGCCUUUGAGCGGGGGACAACAUUUGGAAACGAAUGCUAAUACCGCAUAAUAACUUUAAACAUAAGUUUUAAGUUUGAAAGAUGCAAUUGCAUCACUCAAAGAUGAUCCCGCGUUGUAUUAGCUAGUUGGUGAGGUAAAGGCUCACCAAGGCGAUGAUACAUAGCCGACCUGAGAGGGUGAUCGGCCACAUUGGGACUGAGAAACGGCCCAAACUCCUACGGGAGGCAGCAGUAGGGAAUCUUCGGCAAUGGACGAAAGUCUGACCGAGCAACGCCGCGUGAGUGAAGAAGGGUUUCGGAUCGGAAAAAUCUGUUGGUAGAGAAGAACGUUGGUGAGAGUGGAAAGCUCAUCAAGUGACGGUAACUACCCAGAAAGGGACGGCUAACUACGUG